rnacentral:rRNA from 1 species
CAGCAGCCACGGUAAUACAGAGGAUGCAAGCGUUAUCCGGAAUGAUUGGGCGUAAAGGGCUCGCAGGCGGUUUCUUAAGUCUGAUGUGAAAGCCCCCGGCCCAACCGGGGAGGGUCAUUGGAAACUGGGAAACUUGAGUGCAGAAGAGGAGAGUGGAAUUCCACGUGUAGCGGUGAAAUGCGUAGAGAUGUGGAGGAACACCAGUGGCGAAGGCGACUCUCUGGUCUGUAACUGACGCUGAGGAGCGAAAGCGUGGGGAGCGAACAGGAUUAGAUACCCCGGUAGUCCCUGUCUCUUAUAC